GAAGAUGGAUCCUCCAGCUACAGAGUACAUGUCAUUGUUCAUGAAGCACUUGCCCAACAGGAACUUAAAUAUUAAUUGUGAAAAAACAGCAUGGGACUUGACAAAACAAAACACCCUGCGAGAGAAAUCCUGAGCCUGGAGGAUCUGACAAAGGAGCGUCUUCAUGUACCCCACACAGGGUCAUGUUACUCACCAAGGCAGGGCACUAACAUCACACCAGGUCUUUCAUCAGUGGAUAAUGAAAGGCAGUUGAGACUUUUUGCAGUGAUUUGUAAGUUUUGAAAUUUACUUACAACCACUUAAGAACAUUUAGAUCCGG
rnacentral:lncRNA from 1 species